rnacentral:lncRNA from 1 species
UUCAAUAUCAAUGAAGUUUACUACUUUCAGAGUCGUAAUAAAUUUAUUCUUGUCGAUCAAUUUCUAGGGCUUUUUCCCUCCACAUUUUCUCAUAAAAUCUCUACGAAACCCUAAAACUCAGAGAAAAUUGAGCUCUCUCCGACCAAAUUAAGCUCUCUCUGGCUACCAUGGGAGCGGCGGCGAGCUCAUCAUCUUCAUCAACCUCGGAUAAAUAGAGAUCGCAAAGCUAUGUGUGACGUUGAGUCCGUUUGGAGUUUCCUGUGAGAUUUUGAUUCAUAGCUUUUUGUCAUGUUUUGAUGAUCAUGAUAAAACGUCCGGUGAAGCCUGUUCAUAAGUUUGAUGACGUCAGCCGGCUCACUCAUAAUUCGCCAUGGGUGUAGAGAAGUAGAAGAACGAAGAGGUUGUGAAAUCACAUGGCUGGUGCCCUAAGAUCGAGCUUGCCGUCGAGGCCACAACAGCUUUUGUCCGAUGAAGGUCACAUCGAUUAAGCUUGAUUCCGAGACUGAGUUCAUUACCAGCCAAAGUCGACCUAAGGCGACAUAUGUAACUCGGCUUAUUCGAGGUUACUAAACACAUGCAUUUAAGUCAAACUUUGGGUCAUGGCCAUCGGGUUCUGCACCUUCUGCUGCUCCUGAGGAGGGUAGAAGAAAAGUUGCAGCUCUAUUGAAGCAACAAGGUGUUCGUCUCAAAGGGCUUGCAAGAAGUUCUGAUGUUACCGAGUAAAUCCCACCUUUGCUUGACAAAAACGGAAAAAUUGAGGUGAGGCGGACUAAUGGCAGUGCUAAUUAGUUACUCAGGGAUCUUCCCAUAAUCCAUAGUGGUUUUUGUUAAUCCUUGGUGAAAAGUUAAUGAUAAAGUCCCUAGAUUUUAAAACUUAAUGAUAAAGUCCCUAGAUUUUAUUUAUAACAAAAAAAGUUAUUUUGUGCUAAUUUAAAUUCGACUUUUUAGAUCAACCUUAAUACCUUAUUUGAAGGUAAAUAAGUGUCAUAUUCUUUGCUCGAGACAGAGGUGUUGAUUUUUAAAGGCAAGUAAUAAGUAAAAAGAAGCAGAUGACUAUAUACAUGUUUGUGUGGUCCAAAUGUUGAGUCAAAGAAGGUUUGACUUUUUAUUUUUUAUUCUUUAGCUCUUACUUUUCUCUACUGUUCCGAUCAACAUUAAUGGCUAAGCUGUAUUAUCUUUAUGAUCAAUGGUUAAGGUUGAAAAAUUCAAGUCAAAAUGGCUUCGGGUAAAAAACCUGCCUCAAUUGCUGCAAUUAGACGGGUAUGUUUAGAUCAAUUUUGCGGAUAGUAACGGGUCAAUACGGCAGUGGAACAUGACGGGUACAAAGUUGGACAUGAUAGCCGUGGUCGGCUAGGGCCAAAAGUGAGAGCAGCGGAUCUAAUGGACAAAGCAUGACUACGCAUAGCAUAGACAAUUGUGACACCCCACGAAAACGCUCAACAACACUAGCUUCCUCAGUGACUGCACGCUAAAUUUCGGGACGAAAUUUCUUUCAACUUGGGAAUAAUGUGACAACCCGUAACCUUGAGGCCGUUAGGUGCUUAGAUGGAGCUUGCACAGGAGGAUGAGGUCGUUGUGGGACAUGGACUGUUGAGUUCCAUGUUAAACUUAUGAACUUUUAUACAUUAUAUGGUUUUGUACUUAAUGCUUCCGCUGAUAACUUAAACUUUGUUGAAAUGUUUUGACACCAAUUAUAUUGUUUGGUUUUGACUUUUAUUUAUUUAAUU